CUACCAUUUGAUCUAUGGCAUUCCUCUAACAAUUAAAUUCAUGAGUAAUGUAAGAACAUCAUAGCUGAAAAACAUCUUAUUAAGGCUUUUUUAAUGUGGAAGAAAACCAUAGGACUAGUCUUGAAGAUUUCAAAGGAAAGGCAACAUAUAAUUCUAAGUUCUUCAUUAAUGUAUAUUUCUCUACAGAUAAAUGAGAGACUAUAUGUGCUUAUCUGUGAAGAUAGAUGUGGAUGUCUCCAAAGGCUUAUACAAAUGUACAUGCUGGUGUGAAUCGCCAUUUCCACAAAGUCUCCAAAUGACGAUUUGUUGAUCGCUCUGUAAAAGCCCAAGGCCUUUCUCUUUAGUAGGAAUACCAACUAUCUGAUUGUUUUACUUUUAUUCAAAGAAAUUUAACAAAUGCUGCUCAUUUCUUGGUUACCUUAUAAUUUUAUGAAAUUCACAAAAAAAAAAGACAAAUAUGAAGGAGCCAGAUUGUGCAAGAGUCUUAGAUAAACAAAAGAUUCUGGAACAAGCUAACAUAGUAAGUAGAACAGGUAGUGCAACUUCAAAGUUAUUUCAUACACACCACAAACAGAGCUAAUCUCUCAACAUCGAGAGAUACUCUUGUGGACAUUUUGACCUUAAUUUUAACAAGGAACAGGUAGACACUGGUAUUUAAGAGUUAGCAUGGUGUACUUUGAUUCCUAUUUGGUGACUCAUGGUUUUCAAAUAUUUGCAGGUGCUGACGUGAGUCACCAAAGUCCUGUGUCUCUCACUCCUGGCCUUGUUAGUAGUCAGCAGUGUGAACUCCAUCUCCUCAUAUGUGGAAUGGGGGAUUGAAAUAUAUAAUUUAUGGUUUCUUUCCAUUUCUAAAAUGAUUGCUUUCAUUCCAGAAAUUUAAGAUCAAAGUUGAAAAAGUAAAUAGAAACAGCACAUUUUGACAGACACUCCCAGAGGGAACAAAAAAAAGGAAUGGAGACAGCAAGGGAAUCUCGUUAACUUUGUGCGAAACAGCAUAACACUGAUAAAGAAAAGAAGAAGAAAGACCUCAACAGGUGGCGAAAGAAGGCAUAGAAGGAUUGAAUGCUGCCUACCCGACUGGUGGGCUAUUAAUAGUUCCCCUAGAGCAUGUUCUUUAAUAGAAAACGGAGAAAAAUGUAUGAUAAACAAAAAUGUGCAAACCCAAAUGUGCAUGUUAAUCAAUGAUUACGAAUAUGAAUCCACCUAGAUUUCUCAGCUGUCAAAUCUAAGGAUAAAGAAACUCAAAGGAACACCAGGCAGGUAGCAGAGCUAUACACUAAAUCUUGUCUCCAUCACAUUCACAGCUCCACAGGCUAACGUUCUCUAUACUGAUGGCCCCUUCUUAGUUGAUGAUUUUUCACAAUGUAUUUCAUGGCUUCCAUCCCUACAUGAGACUUUAUUACUAUCACAUAGGAAUAAAAAGCCAUAAAGCACUAGAGUGAAUUUAUCUUGGUCGGAUGCAAAACUUAUUUUCUUCACAUGACUUCACAACCAUUUCAAAGCUAACCAAUCAUUUCACGCUACAUUAAAGAACAUUUUAAACUACACAUAAGUGACAGGAAGCACACUUGAAUUGUGACAUCACGAAUUAACAAGAUUUUAUCCUUCCACGACAUUCUUAGCUACAAGGACCGGGAAACAAGACCAAGAGACACUCAGCAACAUUCAGCCAUUGAAUUCACCAAAAACAAAGGACACUGGGAAGAAUUCCUGGAGAAAUGCUCAUCACUUUGACAUUGAACUUGGAAACACAUACGGAAAGACAGAAGACAGACAAAUCACUGAUGCAAACUGAAACCAGAGGAAUUAUUUCAAGCCUCUUGCUCCAACUUUUCCCCAGAAAGCUUUCUUACAUACCCAUGCUGGCUUUUAGACUUUUCAUUUUGGGUCAGGUGGGGAGUCGGGAUCUUAGUACCUGUUUGACUAUGUAAGCGUUAAGCUUUCUCUACACCUAAAUAACAAAAAGGAAAUAAAAAAGUAUAGCAUACUAUGUGCUAACUGCUCA
rnacentral:lncRNA from 1 species